rnacentral:rRNA from 1 species
GUUUGAUCAUGGCUCAGGAUGAACGCUAGCGGCAGGCCUAAUACAUGCAAGUCGAACGGUGUCUUCGGACAUAGUGGCGCACGGGUGCGUAACACGUAUGCAACCUACCUUACAUUGGGGGAUAGCCUUUCGAAAGGGAGAUUAAUACCGCAUAAGACAGUAGUCUGGCAUCAGACAGCUGUUAAAGAUUUAUCGAUGUAAGCUGGGCAUGCGACCAAUUAGUUAGUUGGCGAGGUAAUGGCUCACCAAGACUAUGAUUGGUAGGGGAACUGAGAGGUCAAUCCCCCACACUGGCACUGAGAUACGGGCCAGACUCCUACGGGAGGCAGCAGUAGGGAAUAUUGGGCAAUGGACGCAAGUCUGACCCAGCCAUGCCGCGUGCAGGAAGAAGGCGUUAUGCGUUGUAAACUGCUUUUAUACAGGAAGAAACGACUCUUGCGAGAGGCAUUGACGGUACUGUAUGAAUAAGCACCGGCUAACUCCGUGCCAGCAGCCGCGGUAAUACGGAGGGUGCAAGCGUUGUCCGGAUUUAUUGGGUUUAAAGGGUGCGCAGGUGGUUUAUUAAGUCAGUGGUGAAAGACGGUCGCUCAACGAUUGCAGUGCCAUUGAAACUGGUAGACUUGAGUAAAGUAGAGGUGGGCGGAAUUGAUAGUGUAGCGGUGAAAUGCAUAGAUAUUAUCAAGAACUCCAAUUGCGUAGGCAGCUCACUUGGCUUUUACUGACACUCAUGCACGAAAGUGUGGGUAUCAAACAGGAUUAGAUACCCUGGUAGUCCACACUGUAACGAUGAUAACUAGGUGUCGGCCGAAUCUGGUCGUGCCACAGCGAAGCGUUAAGUUAUCCACCUGGGGAGUACGCCGGCACCGUGAAACUCAAAGGAUUGACGGGUCCGCACAAGCGUGGAGCAUGUGGUUUAAUU